rnacentral:rRNA from 1 species
UUNCCAGAAAGGGACGGCUAACUACGUNCCAGCAGCCGCGGUAAUACGUAGGUCCCGAGCGUUGUCCGGAUUUAUUGGGCGCAAAGCGAGCGCAGGCGGUUAGAUAANUCUGAAGUUAAAGGCUGUGGCUUAACCAUAGUACGCUUUGGAAACUGUUUAACUUAAGUGCAGAAGGGGAGAGUGGAAUUCCAUGUGUAGCGGUGAAAUGCGUAGAUAUAUGGAGGAACACCGGUGGCGAAAGCGGCUCUCUGGUCUGUAACUGACGCUGAGGCUCGAAAGCGUGGGGAGCGAACAGGAUUAGAUACCCUGGUAGUCCACGCCGUAAACGAUGAGUGCUAGGUGUUAGGCCCUUUCCGGGGCUUAGUGCCGCAGCUAACGCAUUAAGCACUCCGCCUGGGGAGUACGACCGCAAGGUUGAAACUCAAAGGAAUUGACGGGGGCCCGCACAAGCGGUGGAGCAUGUGGUUUAAUUCGAAGCAACGCGAAGAACCUUACCAGGUCUUGACAUCCCGAUGCCCGCUCUAGAGAUAGAGUUUUACUUCGGUACAUCGGUGACAGGUGGUGCAUGGUUGUCGUCAGCUCGUGUCGUGAGAUGUUGGGUUAAGUCCCGCAACGAGCGCAACCCUUAUUGUUAGUUGCCAUCAUUCAGUUGGGCACUCUAGCGAGACUGCCGGUAAUAAACCGGAGGAAGGUGGGGAUGACGUCAAAUCAUCAUGCCCCUUAUGACCUGGGCUACACACGUGCUACAAUGGCUGGUACAACGAGUCGCAAGUCGGUGACGGCAAGCUAAUCUCUUAAAGCCAGUCUCAGUUCGGAUUGUAGGCUGCAACUCGCCUACAUGAAGUCGGAAUCGCUAGUAAUCGCGGAUCAGCACGCCGCGGUGAAUACGUUCCCGGGCCUUGUACACACCGCCCGUCACACCACGAGAGUUUGUAACACCCGAAGUCGGUGAGGUAAC